CUCCCCUUUGUGCACAUACAGCUUCUUGGAGGUCCUCACAGUGGGCUGCUCUUUCCUGCUGAAACACCCCCUUCUUCUGCCUUCUGGGAGACCACUCUUUCGGGGUUCCCUUCUGAUCUUUUGGGUGCUCCUUCCCAGCUCCCGGUGCCGGCUCCUCCUCCUUCCGCCCUUGACCAAUGACAUAUCCCUGCUGGAUGACUCAGCGGCUUCUGGAGGGACUGAAAGAGUUAAGGACUCUGUGGAUGGUGCAAACGCAGGAGCUCAGCCCCAACACUGGCGAGAGACUGGAACCUGGGACGGUGGCAGUAGACGUACGACGAGAUUGCUUUGCUGGACUUUGUGGUAGCCAAGGCGGGUUGGGCCCACUCAGCAGAGAUGGAGGGAUUGGGACAGGAGUCAACAUCCUGUGCUCAGCCUGUUGCCCUUGUCAGUGAGGCAGGAAUGCACUUUAUUACAGUGAUGGUUUGGGCAACAAUUUCUAAGCUAAUGAAUCUGUUGGUCAGGUGAGCUCAGGUACAUCAUGGCUGAUGCACGUACAUGUAGGCUUUUUUUUUCCCCAAAGAUUUUAUUUAUUUGACAGAGAGAGAGAGAGCGGGCAUGAGCAGGGGAGUGGCAGGCAGAGGGAGAGGGAGAAGCAGGGUCACUGUUGAGCAGGGAACCCAACUAGGGCCUCGAUCCCAGGACCCCGCGAUCACGAUCUUAGCUGAAGGCAGCACGUGUAGGCCUUUUCAAGCGACAGUCUAGAGCUGCACAUCCAGUUUGGUAGCCACUAACCACUGCAGCCAAUUAAAUCUUUAAAAUUUUUAUUUUCAAUUCACAUACAACAAAUUCCCUACAUGCAGUAUUUUUCAUGCACGGUUCCUUGGCUUUGACAAUUGCAUAAAGUCAAGUAACCACCACCACCCUGAAGACCCAGAAGAGUUUGUUCACUUUAAAAUAUCCCCUUGAAAAAAAAAAAAUAAAAUAAAAUAUCCCCUUGGGUUGCUCCUUGGUGGUCAACCUUCUAUCAACCCCAAGUCCCUCACAACCAUCUGUUUUGUAUUUCUAUAAUUUCGCCUUUCAGGAUUUAAAUUAAUUAAAAUUAGACAAAAUAAAGGAUUCAGUUGGUCAGUUGCACCAGCCAUAUUUCAUGCGCUCAAUAGCGACAUGUGGCUGACGGCUACCGUUCUGGACGGCGCAGACAGAAAAUAUUCCCAUCAUUCCAGAAAAUUCUACUGGGCAGCACCAGUAGAGGUCCAUUUAUUCAGUGUUUCUAAAAUGUUUGGGGGUCGUAUUCCUUCUAUCAACCCUCUUCCUAGAAAAGGCUCACAAUACAGGCAUGCAGAAAAGAAAUCCAAUGCUGAGUUUCAGGGCAUCCGUCGAUGGCUCUAAGUCCCUUCCUAUGGGGCUGAGACUCCCAAAUGUCAUGUAAACUUGAAAGUCUAAAAGCAUUUUCCUCAAGCUGAGUUUUCUGCUUUGUGUCUUCAAGUUAGAAAUCAGACCAAAGCGUUGUCUCGUAAGCUUGCUGUUUUCUCUUUAAUAUGCAACGCUGACAGGCAAUUAUUCACGGAGAUUACUCCGUGCGCAGCGUUGGCCUGCUGCGCCGCCCGCUCGGUUGCAGGAAUGAGCUUUUGGAAAUCAUCGUUAUUAGUAAAUAUGAAUCGGGGUGUUUGAAAUGACUUAAUGGAAGUUUAGCUUCUCUCACAUUAAAUCUUCUUUGUUACAGGGUAAUGGUAAAGUAGUCUGGGCAUCAGCUUUGCACUGUCGAAAAAGGUAGCUUGUUCCUUAAAACAGUGUUCUGGGUAAUUCUCGCCCAGAUCAAUGUCAUUCCGAAAGCUACUGCCUUCCAUUUCACAAUUUAGGGGCGAUAAUUGUGUUGGCUUGACUGACACUGUCUUGGUCACAAUUUCUUUCUGAUGCUGCCUCCUGCUCAGCUCCCCAAAGACUUGGGAAAACCUUUCUUGCUUGCUCCCCAUCCGCCCUUUGCUUAUAAAAUGCCCCACGCAAAAUAAAUAAAUAAAUAAAUAAAUAAAUAAAUAAAUAAAUAAAUAAAAUAAAAAAAUAAAAAAUAAAUAAAAA
rnacentral:lncRNA from 1 species